UUAUUUACUUUCCUUGGUGUUCCUGACUGG
rnacentral:piRNA from 1 species